rnacentral:rRNA from 1 species
UGGGGAAUAUUGCGCAAUGGAGGAAACUCUGACGCAGCAACGCCGCGUGAAUGAUGAAGGCCUUAGGGUUGUAAAGUUCUGUCUUCUGGGACGAUAAUGACGGUACCAGAGGAGGAAGCCACGGCUAACUACGUGCCAGCAGCCGCGGUAAUACGUAGGUGGCAAGCGUUGUCCGGAUUUACUGGGCGUAAAGGAUGCGUAGGCGGACAUUUAAGUCAGAUGUGAAAUACCCGAGCUUAACUUGGGUGCUGCAUUUGAAACUGGGUGUCUAGAGUGCAGGAGAGGUAAGUGGAAUUCCUAGUGUAGCGGUGAAAUGCGUAGAGAUUAGGAAGAACACCAGUGGCGAAGGCGACUUACUGGACUGUAACUGACGCUGAGGCAUGAAAGCGUGGGGAGCAAACA